rnacentral:rRNA from 1 species
UACGUAGGGUGCUAGCGUUGUCCGGAUUUAUUGGGCGUAAAGCGUGCGCAGGCGGUUUUGUAAGCCAGAUGUGAAAUCCCCGGGCUUAACCUGGGAAUGGCAUUUGGGACUGCAAGGCUUGAGUGCGGCAGAGGAGACUGGAAUUCCUGGUGUAGCAGUGAAAUGCGUAGAUAUCAGGAGGAACACCGAUGGCGAAGGCAGGUCUCUGGGCUGACACUGACGCUCAUGCACGAAAGCGUGGGGAGCAAACAGG